CGGGGCGUAGCGCAGUCUGGUAGCGCAUCUGCUUUGGGAGCAGGAGGUCGGCCGUUCAAAUCGGCUCGCCCCGA
rnacentral:tRNA from 1 species